UUUCAGAAGAAAUUUGAGUCUAUGGUAUUCUGGACUCGAGUUUUAAGUUAUUUUUAGGUUUCUUCAAGUUAUUCUAGAUAUAUUUAGUUGCUGUAGCCUUUCCUGAGGUUUACUGGUUCUUUGCUGGGUAUUUUCGAUUCAUUUGAGUUUGGUUUUUUGGUCAAAUCCUAUGUGGUACUUCUCCAGUAUACUCCUUGGUCUUUGUGUAGCUGUUUUGCUUCUGG
rnacentral:lncRNA from 1 species